UGAAGACUCAUUUGAGGCGUAUUUGAUGUUGUUGUUGUUGAUUUUCAGUCUUGACAGAACUCGACUAUCUUAGUUUGGGAAAUGAAAGGAACUGGACGAGGAAAAAGUGGGAGAGGCGGGACGAGCUGUGGUCGUGGAAGUUUUCAAGGACGUGGUAAUUUUGGAGCGACGUCUCAGCCACGCAUACAGACUGGACGAGUAUCUGGUGCAUCUGUAGAGACAGGACAACAUGUAACCCGAGUCAAGGACCUUUACAAACCGGACGAGUAUCUAGUAACUCUCUCCCAAGACCUUCUUUAGAAACACAAUCAUCACGAAAUGAACCAGAAACUGUUCAUCGCUCUCCAGAGGCUGACAAUUGUGCAAUUUCUUCCAGCAAUAAAAAAAGAGGAAGAGGAAAGUACAAAUCUCAAAGUUUAGAUAUAAAAACUAAGUAUUGUGGAAAAAUCAAAAUUAUGAUUCCAGAUGACAUUGAUAGAGCAGUAGGUUCUGGGGCUAGAGAUAUUGUUAAUUACUGCAGUUUGAUCAUGAGAAGCACUAUCUCGUUCCAAGAUGGAAAUUGGCAAAAUAUAGUUUUGAAAUACGGAGAAGCAAUGUGGUUAAAG